rnacentral:misc_RNA from 1 species
AAGUCGUAACAAGGUUUCCGUAGGUGAACCUGCGGAAGGAUCAUUAGCAAUCGUCUCAUUGGAGACCCGUUUCUUGUGCACCUGAUUAGAUAUGACCUAGGUCAUACACCCACUUAUACAAUAAACCUGAUAAACCAUAUGGCAAAAUAAUACAAAAUACAACUUUUAACAACGAAUCUCUUGGCUCUCC